AUUGAACGCUGGCGGCAAGCCUAACACAUGCAAGUCGAACGAGUGGCGGACGGGUGAGUAAUGUCUGGGAAACUGCCUGAUGGAGGGGGAAAACUACUGGAAACGGUAGCUAAUACCGCAUACCAUCGGAUGUGCCCAGAUGGGAUUAGUUAGGUGGUGGGGUAAAGGCCUACCAAGGCGACGAGCCUUAACAGGUCUGAGAAGAUGAACAGGCACACUGGAACUGAGACACGGUCCAGACUCCUACGGGAGGCAGCAGUGGGGAAUAUUGGAAAAUGGGCGAAAGCCUGAUCCAGCCUUGCCGCGUGUGUGAAGAAGGUCUUCGGAUUGUAAAGCACUUUAAGUUGGGAGGCGUUACCAACAGAAUAAGCACCGGCUAACUUCGUGCCAGCCGCCGCGGUAAUAC
rnacentral:rRNA from 1 species